AUCAAAUUAGUGUAGUGGUUUGGGUUCUGGACUACAACUUUGGAGACCAGGGUUCAAAUCCCUACUUUGCCA